UCAAGAUAAUCUGAAUUGCACAGAUGUCAACUCCGUGUAAAAGAGGGGCUUCCUAACUAGCUAUAUCUUG
rnacentral:tRNA from 1 species